UUUAUUUUAUUUCCUGCUUUUACGAAGUAAACGGUAUGCGAUCUGCAAAGGAGUGUGUUGCAAAACCAAAUGCUAUUUUUUAUUUCUAGCGUAUAUUUUGCCCAUAAUUAACAAUCUUAACAAAGAGUUUCAAGCUGAAAGCAAUGCUUUUUGUAUAAUCGAAAUUUAUUUGGUAGGUUGUGAACGAUUUUGGUCGUAUUUGGGAAGAAAAUUGGUAGGGGAAAAAAAUUGUUAGUGGCAACACUGGCCACCACCACCUGACACUGCCGAUAACAACGAUGACGAUGAAGUUGUUUGAUUGUGUGGUUCUUGUUUCACUGGUUCGUUCGUUCGGUAGUUGGCAUUGCUGGCAACGACUUGUUUGGCUGCUAACAGGAGCACAGCGCUAAGUAACGAGUAGCUGCCGCGACUAGAUAUUUAGUGGUUAAAGAAUUGUAUUAGUUGGCACGGUAUUAUGGUGCCUACGUGAAGUGAAAAGAGCAUGACAACUCUGGAAUCCGAAUGCUGGGCUGAGCUGAGUCAGAGCGUCAGCGGUGCAACAGCCAAACAGGCCAGCCAGCCAGCCACCCAAUCGAGCAGCCAGCCAUCCAGUUAUCCAGCCAGGCGUUAAGCACCCUAGGCCACCUUAUACGAGGAGCCUAUAAAGUAGGAGAGCAAUUGAGCGAGAAUGCGUUGAGAUGAGUAACCCUUGAAAACUUUUAGUGGAUGCACGCAACAACAUGACAUGCAACAAAAUCGAUAAA